AUUUGGGCCAAUUUCAGUCUGUACAAUUCAUUUAUUUGACCCAAAUGUGGUUGGUCCGUGGGUCGGUGGGUUAAUUUCGUCCUUACCUUCGUUUGUUCCUUUUUUCCUUCUCAGCUUCCUCAAUUCACAUGAUCACUAGUACAUCGGAGAGAGGGGGUAUUUUUUCUAACAUUUUGAUAUUGUAUUCGCAGCUUCCCCACCUGAUAAAAGUUUGAAUUGGAAUUGGUUGUAUUUUUUAUUGCUUGUAUUGACGAUUGGAGUUGUAGUGUUUUACUAUAAAUGUUGGAGGAAACGCAAGUAUCAGCGGGGAGAAACAAUUCAAUUCAACGAGGCGAGUGAUGACCAGUUGCUUAAAGAAGUGCAAUCGGAUGCUGUUGGUAAUCAGUCUAAUGACCUUUGGUUAAAAACCUCAUUUAUCUAGAGAUGUGGAAGUUUCAUAGUUCGCUUCGUAGACAUGUAAACAUGCCUUAAGGUAAUUCCCUCGAAAGAAAUUUUGCCAAUAACUUUGCCCUGAAACUUUGCAUGGACAUUAAUUAUGUUAUGGACAUUUAAAAACUGCAAUAAAAAGAUGGGGUCACCAUUCUCGUUUUUUCGCUGGAUGGUCUCCAAAUAUGUCAAUUUAUGGGUUUUGUAGUGAAAUGCGGUAGCAACCGGAAGCUGUAAUCAAGAACCUUUAUUCAGCAUUAAAAGUACUUUUAUAGAGUAAAACGUACUUAUAACUCGAAGUUUACUAGAUAAUCUAUACUAUUAAAUCCAUCAAAGUCAUU